AGUGAGCGCUGGCGGUAGGCCUAACACAUGCAAGUCGAACGGCAGCACAGUAGGAGCUUGCUCUUACGGGUGGCGAGUGGCGGACGGGUGAGGAAUACAUCGGAAUCUACUUUUUCGUGGGGGAUAACGUAGGGAAACUUACGCUGAUACCGCAUACGACCUACGGGUGAAAGCAGGGGAUCUUCGGACCUUGCGCGAUUGAAUGAGCCGAUGUCGGAUUAGCUAGUUGGCGGGGUAAAGGCCCACCAAGGCGACGAUCCGUAGCUGGUCUGAGAGGAUGAUCAGCCACACUGGAACUGAGACACGGUCCAGACUCCUACGGGAGGCAGCAGUGGGGAAUAUUGGACAAUGGGCGCAAGCCUGAUCCAGCCAUACCGCGUGGGUGAAGAAGGCCUUCGGGUUGUAAAGCCCUUUUGUUGGGAAAGAAAAGCAGCAGGUUAAUACCCCGCUGUUCUGACGGUACCCAAAGAAUAAGCACCGGCUAACUUCGUG
rnacentral:rRNA from 1 species